AACGAACGCUGGUGGCGUGUCUUAUACAUGCAAGUCGAGCGGGGCAGCAAUGCCCAGCGGCGAACGGGUGAGUAACGCGUAAGCAAUCUGCCCCAUAUCAGGAAAUACCCGUGCCAACGCGCGGUUAAUGUCCAGGAGCGUGGCCUCCCGCAUGGGAGGUUGACAAGAGAUUUAUCGGUAUGGGAUGAGCUUGCGUCCGAUUAGCUAGUUGGCGGGGCAACGGCCCACCAAGGCGACGAUCGGUAGCCGGCCUGAGAGGGUGAUCGGCCACAUUGGGACUGAGAUACGGCCCAGACUCCUACGGGAGGCAGCAGUAGGGAAUAUUGCACAAUGGGGGAAACCCUGAUGCAGCAACGCCACGUGUGGGAAGAAGCAUUUCGGUGUGUAAACCACUGUCGUGAGGGAAUAAGGCGUCUUCUCGGAGACGUUGAAUGUACCUCGAAAGGAAGCACCGGCAAACUUCGUG
rnacentral:rRNA from 1 species